rnacentral:rRNA from 1 species
CAACCUGCCCAUCACUUGGGAAUAACCUUGCGAAAGUAAGACUAAUGCCCAAUGACAUUUAUANNAGGCAUCGGAAAUGAAUUAAAGAUUUAUCGGUGAUGGAUGGGGAUGCGUCUGAUUAGCUUGUUGGCGGGGUAACGGCCCACCAAGGCGACGAUCAGUAGGGGUUCUGAGAGGAAGGUCCCCCACAUUGGAACUGAGACACGGUCCAAACUCCUACGGGAGGCAGCAGUGAGGAAUAUUGGUCAAUGGGCGAGAGCCUGAACCAGCCAAGUAGCGUGCAGGAUGACGGCCCUAUGGGUUGUAAACUGCUUUUAUAGGGGAAUAAAGUGAUCCACGUGUGGUUUUUUGCAUGUACCCUAUGAAUAAGGACCGGCUAAUUCCGUGCCAGCAGCCGCGGUAAUACGGAAGGUCCGGGCGUUAUCCGGAUUUAUUGGGUUUAAAGGGAGCGUAGGCCGGAGAUUAAGCGUGUUGUGAAAUGUAGAUGCUCAACAUCUGCACUGCAGCGCGAACUGGUUUCCUUGAGUACGCAUAAAGUGGGCGGAAUUCGUGGUGUAGCGGUGAAAUGCUUAGAUAUCACGAAGAACUCCGAUUG